GCCAGAUGUGACGGCGCGUGCCUGUAGUCCCAGCUACUCGGGAGGCUGAGGCUGGAGGAUCGCUUGAGUCCAGGAGUUCUAGGCUGCACUGCGCUAUGCCAAUCGGGUGUCUGUACUAAGUUCGGCAUCGAUAUGGUGACCUCCCAGGAGCAGGGGACCACCAGGUUGCCUAAGGAGGGGUGAACCAGCCCAGGUCGGAAACGGAGCAGGUCAAAACUCCCGUGCUGAUCAGAAUACGCUAGCAGCUGCUCCCCAGUUGUGCCCAUUCCUAAAUUGCUGGAGAGGAAAUGUAUCAGCCA
ensembl:misc_RNA Metazoa_SRP Metazoan signal recognition particle RNA